CUACGGGACGCUGCAGUGGGGAAUAUUGCACAAUGGGGGGAACCCUGAUGCAGCAACGCCGCGUGGAGGAUGACGCAUUUCGGUGUGUAAACUCCUUUUAUAUGUCAAGAAGAUGACGGUAGCAUAUGAAUAAGCACCGGCUAACUCCGUGCCAGCAGCCGCGGUAAUACGGAGGGUGCAAGCGUUACUCGGAAUCACUGGGCGUAAAGGACGCGUAGGCGGGUUGGAAAGUCAGGUGUGAAAUCCUACAGCUUAACUGUAGAACUGCACUUGAAACUUCUAAUCUAGAGUAUGGGAGGGGGAGAUGGAAUUAGUGGUGUAGGGGUAAAAUCCGUAGAUAUCACUAGGAAUACCUAAAGCGAAGGCGAUCUCCUGGAACAUUACUGACGCUAAGGCGUGAAAGCGUGGGGAGCAAACAGGAUUAGAUACCCCGGUAGUC
rnacentral:rRNA from 1 species